rnacentral:rRNA from 1 species
AAUGGACGCUGGCGGCAGGCCUAACACAUGCAAGUCGAACGGAUCCUUCGGGAUUAGUGGCGGACGGGUGAGUAACGCGUGGGAACAUACCCUUUGGUACGGAAUAGCCUCGGGAAACUGGGAGUAAUACCGUAUGUGGUCGAGAGACGAAAGAUUUAUCGCCAAAGGAUUGGCCCGCGUUGGAUUAGGUAGUUGGUGGGGUAAUGGCCUACCAAGCCGACGAUCCAUAGCUGGUUUGAGAGGAUGAUCAGCCACACUGGGACUGAGACACGGCCCAGACUCCUACGGGAGGCAGCAGUGGGGAAUCUUAGACAAUGGGGGAAACCCUGAUCUAGCCAUGCCGCGUGAUCGAUGAAGGCCUUAGGGUUGUAAGGAUCUUUCAGGUGGGAAGAUAAUGACUGUACCACCAGAAGAAGCCCCGGCUAACUCCGUGCCAGCCGCCGCCGUAAUAC